UGACCUCGGAUCAGACGUGAUUACCCGCUGAAUUUAAGCAUAUUAUUAAGCGGAGGAAAAGAAACUAACAAGGAUUCCCCUAGUAACGGCGAGUGAACGGGGAAGAGCCCAACACCGAAUCCCUUGGCGCAAGUCAACGGGAAAUGUGGUGUUAAGGUAGCCCUUCGUGUCAGUCUAGGCGUCUCAAGUCCACCUGAUUGUGGCUCAAGCCCAGAGAGGGUGUAAGGCCCGUAGAGACGCUCCGACUGAUUCCUGGGGUUUACCUACGAGUCGGCUUGUUUGGGAAUGCAGGCCAAAGCGGGUGGUAAACUCCAUCCAAGGCUAAAUACUGGCACGAGUCCGAUAGCGGACAAGUACCGUGAGGGAAAGUUGAAAAGAACUUUGAAGAGAGAGUUCAAUAGUACGUGAAACCGCUUAGAGGCAAACGGAUGGUGCUCAUACUGGCCUGAGGAAUUCAACUGUGACGGUGGCUGGACGAGCUGGCGUUCCGAUCUCUCUUUUGGGACGGGCGUCGGUUUGGCUAUCAGCUCCGACAUGGUGCACUUUCCUUGGUGCCUCCGCCACGACCGACGACACUGGCUACCCGCGGCUGGGGUAAGGUGACAAACUGCUUCGGCAAUUUGUGUUAUAGACCCCGGCGUCGGACAUGGUUUGGCCAGGACGUCGAGCUUGCGGCGCCCGCUCCUUGUGGGCUCGCAUGUUGGCUAGCUUGGCUGCGCCGAUGCUUGCACUGGACAACCAGUACAGGUGACGGUUGUGGUCUUGUCUCUAGUUGGCCUCUGCGAGUUUGGCGCCUAUAGUCUGUGGUGUACUUGUGGGUAGACUAUCCGACCCGUCUUGAAACACGGACCAAGGAGUCUAACAUGUGCGCGAGUCAUGGGGAUUCUACGAAACCCAAAGGCGCAGUGAAAGUAAAGGCCUGCUUCUCGUAGGCUGAGGUGGGAUCUCGUGCAUCGCGAUUGGCGAGCGCACCACCGGCCCGUCCUAUCUGUCUCUGUCAGUGGGGCGGCGCAAGAGCGUACACGUUGGGACCCGAAAGAUGGUGAACUAUGCUUGCGCAGCUCGAAGUCAGUGGAAACACUGAUGGAGGAGCGCAGCGUUUCUGACGUGCAAAUCGAUCGUCAAACGUGAGUAUAGGGGCGAAAGACUAAUCGAACCAUCUAGUAGCUGGUUCCCUCCGAAGUUUCCCUCAGGAUAGCUGGCACUCGGGAAACAGUUUU
rnacentral:ncRNA from 1 species